rnacentral:lncRNA from 1 species
AACCCAAGCACCGCCACAUCCACCGCCACGCUCGCCGGAAACUACCACAAGCAACAAUCGAAAUCACAGCCUACAUGGAUCAUCCCCGUUUCCGUUUCUGUCCCCGACUAUGUAUUGCAUUAUCACACCCACGUUGUGGGCCCCAACCAGUGUUGCUCCGCCGUUGUACAAGCCAUCUCCGCCCCAAUCGACACCGUCUGGUCCCUCGUCCGCCGCUUCGAUAACCCGCAAGCAUACAAGCACUUUCUUAAAAGCUGCCACGUCAUUGACGGCGAUGGUAACGUCGGUAGCUUGAGGGAAGUUCGCGUUGUUUCUGGACUUCCUGCGGCUUCUAGUACGGAGAGGCUGGAGAUUUUAGACGAUGAAAAACACGUGCUCAGCUUUAGUGUCGUCGGCGGCGAUCAUCGGCUUAACAAUUACCGAUCGGUGACGACGCUGCACACGGCGGAUGAUGACGAGAAUAUGACUAUGGUGGUGGAGUCGUACGAGGUUGAUGUUCCACAAGGGAAUACAAAGGAAGAAACAUGUGUUUUUGUGGAUACAAUUGUGCGGUGCAAUUUGCAGUCACUGGCGC